GACGAACCGUGCGAACGUUAUUCGGAAUCACUGGGCUUAAAGCGCGUGUAGGCGGAUGGGGACGUCGGUUGCUGAAAUACCCCGGCUCAACCGGGGAACGGGCGCCGAAACGCCCCGUCUCGAGGGACGUAGGGGGACCUGGAACUUCCGGUGGAGCGGUGAAAUGCGUUGAGAUCGGAAGGAACGCCCGUGGCGAAAGCGAGGUCCUGGACGUCUACUGACGCUGAGACGCGAAAGCUAGGGGAGCGAACGGG
rnacentral:rRNA from 1 species